UUGACCUCAAUCAGGUAGGAUUACCCGCUGAACUUAAGCAU
rnacentral:rRNA from 1 species